rnacentral:rRNA from 1 species
UACGUAGGUGGCAAGCGUUAUCCGGAAUUAUUGGGCGUAAAGAGCGCGCAGGUGGUUAAUUAAGUCUGAUGUGAAAGCCCACGGCUUAACCGUGGAGGGUCAUUGGAAACUGGUUGGCUUGAGUGCAGAAGAGGGAAGUGGAAUUCCAUGUGUAGCGGUGAAAUGCGUAGAGAUAUGGAGGAACACCAGUGGCGAAGGCGGCUUCCUGGUCUGCAACUGACACUGAGGCGCGAAAGCGUGGGGAGCAAACAGG